GUCCAGACUCCUACGGGAGGCAGCAGUGGGGGAUAUUGCACAAUGGAGGAAACUCUGAUGCAGCGACGCCGCGUGAGGGAAGACGGUCUUCGGAUUGUAAACCUCUGUCUUUGGGGAAGAAAAUGACGGUACCUGACUAAGAAGCCCCGGCUAACUACGUGCCAGCAGCCGCGGUAAUACGUAGGGGGCAAGCGUUAUCCGGAUUUACUGGGUGUAAAGGGAGCGUAGACGGCAGUGCAAGUCCGGAGUGAAAGCCCGGGGCUCAACCCUGGGACUGCUCUGGAAACUGUAAAGCUGGAGUGCGGGAGGGGCAGGCGGAAUUCCUGGUGUAGCGGUGAAAUGCGUAGAUAUCAGGAGGAACACCGGCGGCGAAGGCGGCCUGCUGGACCGUAACUGACGUUGAGGCUCGAAAGCGUGGGGAGCAAACAGGAUUAGAUACCCCGGUA
rnacentral:rRNA from 1 species